rnacentral:misc_RNA from 1 species
GAUGAAGAACGCAGCGAAAUGCGAUAAGUAAUGUGAAUUGCAGAAUUCAGUGAAUCAUCGAAUCUCUGAACGCACAUUGCGCCCGCCAGUAUUCUGGCGGGCAUGCCUGUCUGAGCGUCAUUUCAACCCUCAUGCCCCUAGGGCGUGGUGUUGGGGAUCGGCCAAAGCCCGCGAGGGACGGCCGGCCCCUAAAUCUAGUGGCGGACCCGUCGUGGCCUCCUCUGCGAAGUAGUGAUAUUCCGCAUCGGAGAGCGAUGAGCCCCUGCCGUUAAACCCCCAACUUUCCAAGGUUGACCUCAGAUCAGGUAGGAAUACCCGCUGAACUUAAGCAUAUCAAUAAGCGGAGGA